rnacentral:rRNA from 1 species
UACGUAGGUGACCAGCGUUGUCCGGAUUUACUGGGCGUAAAGAGCUCGUAGGUGGUUCGGUAAGUCGGGUGUGAAAACUCUGGGCUCAACUCAGAGACGCCACCCGAUACUGCUGUGACUUGAGUCUGGUAGGGGAGUGUGGAAUUCCCAGUGUAGCGGUGAAAUGCGCAGAUAUUGGGAGGAACACCAGUGGCGAAGGCGGCACUCUGGGCCAGUACUGACACUGAGGAGCGAAAGCGUGGGUAGCGAACAGG